rnacentral:rRNA from 1 species
UGUGAACUCGAAGAGUAGGGCGGGACACGUGGUAUCCUGUCUGAAUAUGGGGGGACCAUCCUCCAAGGCUAAAUACUCCUGACUGACCGAUAGUGAACCAGUACCGUGAGGGAAAGGCGAAAAGAACCCCGGCGAGGGGAGUGAAAAAGAACCUGAAACCGUGUACGUACAAGCAGUGGGAGCACCUUCGGGUGUGACUGCGUACCUUUUGUAUAAUGGGUCAGCGACUUAUAUUCUGUAGCAAGGUUAACCGUAUAGGGGAGCCGCAGGGAAACCGAGUCUUAACUGGGCGUUAAGUUGCAGGGUAUAGACCCGAAACCCGGUGAUCUAGCCAUGGGCAGGUUGAAGGUUGGGUAACACUAACUGGAGGACCGAACCGACUAAUGUUGAAAAAUUAGCGGAUGACUUGUGGCUGGGGGUGAAAGGCCAAUCAAACCGGGAGAUAGCUGGUUCUCCCCGAAAGCUAUUUAGGUAGCGCCUCGUGAACUCAUCUUCGGGGGUAGAGCACUGUUUCGGCUAGGGGGUCAUCCCGACUUACCAACCCGAUGCAAACUACGAAUACCGAAGAAUGUUAUCACGGGAGACACACGGCGGGUGCUAACGUCCGUCGUGAAGAGGGAAACAACCCAGACCGCCAGCUAAGGUCCCAAAGUCAUGGUUAAGUGGGAAACGAUGUGGGAAGGCACAGACAGCCAGGAUGUUGGCUUAGAAGCAGCCAUCAUUUAAAGAAAGCGUAAUAGCUCACUGGUCGAGUCGGCCUGCGCGGAAGAUGUAACGGGGCUAAACCAUGCACCGAAGCUGCGGCAGCGACACUAUGUGUUGUUGGGUAGGGGAGCGUUCUGUAAGCCUGCGAAGGUGUGCUGUGAGGCAUGCUGGAGGUAUCAGAAGUGCGAAUGCUGACAUAAGUAACGAUAAAGCGGGUGAAAAGCCCGCUCGCCGGAAGACCAAGGGUUCCUGUCCAACGUUAAUCGGGGCAGGGUGAGUCGACCCCUAAGGCGAGGCCGAAAGGCGUAGUCGAUGGGAAACAGGUUAAUAUUCCUGUACUUGGUGUUACUGCGAAGGGGGGACGGAGAAGGCUAUGUUAGCCGGGCGACGGUUGUCCCGGUUUAAGCAUGUAGGCUGAUUGUCCAGGCAAAUCCGGAUAAUCAAGGCUGAGGUGUGAUGACGAGGCACUACGGUGCUGAAGUAACAAAUGCCCUGCUUCCAGGAAAAGCCUCUAAGCAUCAGGUAACAUUAAAUCGUACCCCAAACCGACACAGGUGGUCAGGUAGAGAAUACCAAGGCGCUUGAGAGAACUCGGGUGAAGGAACUAGGCAAAAUGGUGCCGUAACUUCGGGAGAAGGCACGCUGGUGUGUAGGUGAAGUCCCUGCGGAUGGAGCUGAGACCAGUCGAAGAUACCAGCUGGCUGCAACUGUUUAUUAAAAACACAGCACUGUGCAAACACGAAAGUGGACGUAUACGGUGUGACGCCUGCCCGGUGCCGGAAGGUUAAUUGAUGGGGUUAUCCGUAAGGAGAAGCUCUUGAUCGAAGCCCCGGUAAACGGCGGCCGUAACUAUAACGGUCCUAAGGUAGCGAAAUUCCUUGUCGGGUAAGUUCCGACCUGCACGAAUGGCGUAAUGAUGGCCAGGCUGUCUCCACCCGAGACUCAGUGAAAUUGAACUCGCUGUGAAGAUGCAGUGUACCCGCGGCAAGACGGAAAGACCCCGUGAACCUUUACUAUAGCUUGACACUGAACAUUGAGCCUUGAUGUGUAGGAUAGGUGGGAGGCUUUGAAGCGUGGACGCCAGUCUGCGUGGAGCCAACCUUGAAAUACCACCCUUUAAUGUUUGAUGUUCUAACGUUGGCCCCUGACCGGGGUUGCGGACAGUGUCUGGUGGGUAGUUUGACUGGGGCGGUCUCCUCCCAAAGCGUAACGGAGGAGCACGAAGGUUAGCUAAUCCUGGUCGGACAUCAGGAGGUUAGUGCAAUGGCAUAAGCUAGCUUGACUGCGAGCGUGACGGCGCGAGCAGGUGCGAAAGCAGGUCAUAGUGAUCCGGUGGUUCUGAAUGGAAGGGCCAUCGCUCAACGGAUAAAAGGUACUCCGGGGAUAACAGGCUGAUACCGCCCAAGAGUUCAUAUCGACGGCGGUGUUUGGCACCUCGAUGUCGGCUCAUCACAUCCUGGGGCUGAAGUAGGUCCCAAGGGUAUGGCUGUUCGCCAUUUAAAGUGGUACGCGAGCUGGGUUUAGAACGUCGUGAGACAGUUCGGUCCCUAUCUGCCGUGGGCGCUGGAGAAUUGAGGGGGGCUGCUCCUAGUACGAGAGGACCGGAGUGGACGCAUCACUGGUGUUCGGGUUGUCAUGCCAAUGGCACUGCCCGGUAGCUAAAUGCGGAAGAGAUAAGUGCUGAAAGCAUCUAAGCACGAAACUUGCCCCGAGAUGAGUUCUCCCUGAGACU